rnacentral:rRNA from 2 species
UUAUUGGAGAGUUUGAUCCUGGCUCAGGAUGAACGCUGGCGGCGUGCCUAAUACAUGCAAGUCGAGCGAAUGGAUUAAGA